UACGGGGGGGGCAAGCGUUGUUCGGAAUUACUGGGCGUAAAGGGCUCGUAGGCGGCCAACUAAGUCAGACGUGAAAUCCCUCGGCUUAACCGGGGAACUGCGUCUGAUACUGGAUGGCUUGAGAUUGGGAGAGGGAUGCGGAAUUCCAGGUGUAGCGGUGAAAUGCGUAGAUAUCUGGAGGAACACCGGUGGCGAAGGCGGCAUCCUGGACCGGCAUUGACGCUGAUGAGCGAAAGCCAGGGGAGCAAACGGG
rnacentral:rRNA from 1 species